GGGCAAAAUAAAUAUAGAAGCUACAAACGCGUUCUUCCCCUUUUCAUCUGGGAAACUGAACGCCUCCUUUGACGAAUUCCAGCUACUGAUCUUCAUUCUCCACACCGACGAAGCAUAGAAAACAUCAGUUACGUAGCUCAACUAUCGGUAUCAGAAAAGACGCUGGGCUAAUUUCAUCAUAGGCGACCUCAAAUCUCUUACACAUGUGUUGUGACAUAUGACCCAACGGGAACAUUCCUUGUCAAUCUCAUUGCCAACCGAAUACUAUGUAGGAGAAUGAGAUUCUGAAGAUGCUGAUACCACACAUCAAAAGUUGCACAGUGAACAACCAGAUCUAAAAGUUCUGCAAUUUUUCAGGACAACCUUCUGUAUCAUGUCCCUGAAUGUUCGAGUGAUGCCCAUUUGCUCUCAAUCUCUCAAAUAGAUGCAUAUGGCUCAACCAAAGGAGUGAAGGAGAAAUGUUUCACCUUCUUCUGGUGGUCACAAGCUAGAUUGUGUUUGGUGCAACUGUUGUUUGCAAGGAUGGUGGAGACGUGCAUUGCAGUAGUUGGAAGUAGCAUGAGAUUGCAAAAAUUGAUCACUUGGAUAGCAUUGCAGCUGUUCCAUAGUCAUGAAAAUUGGGUUGUUUUCUCUCAUCAGAUUUACAAGUAUUUUCGCUUGGAAGACGCAGGUAACCAGGAUUAGCAUCCAGCACCUCGUUG